rnacentral:rRNA from 1 species
GACGAACGCUGGCGGCGUGCUUAACACAUGCAAGUCGAACGGUAAGGCCCCGCUUUUGUCGGGUGCUCGAGUGGCGAACGGGUGAUUCACACGUGCGUAACCUGCCCUUGGCUUUGGGAUAACUUCAGGAAACUUGGUCUAAUACCGGAUAUGAGCUCCUGCUGCAUGGUCGGGGUUGGAAAGUUUCGGCGGGUGGGGAUGGGCUCGCGGCUUAUCAGCUUGGGGGUGGGGUAGAGGUUUACCACGGGAUUGACGGGUAGCCGGCCUGCGAGGGUGAACGGCCACAAUGGUACUGAGAGAGGGCCCAGACUGGAAUGGGAGGCAGUAGGGGGGAAUAUUGCACAAUGGGCGGAAGCGUGGGGCAGCAGCGUCGGGGUCGGAAUGAGGGCUUGUGGGGUAUGAAACGCUUUCGCUUGAUACGAGGGGUUAGUGACGGUAAUGUAUGAAGAAGCACCGGCUAACUACGUG